ACUGGUCUUAAGGAUGACAUACCUGCCUUCACUGAGAUGAUAGUUUGUUGAUGAGAAUCUUGCUUAUUUUUAUACUCGUCAGCUGAGCCAGU
ensembl:snoRNA